AAGAGACGUUGCCCUUCGGGGUAUACCUCCCACCCUUUGUUUAUUAUACCUUUGUUGCUUUGGCGGGCCCGUCCUCGGACCACCGGCUUCUGCUGGUCAGUGCCCGCCAGAGGACCUAAAACUCUGUUUGUUAAUACUGUCUGAGUACUAUAUAAUAGUUA
rnacentral:misc_RNA from 1 species